AUGUACCAUUUACACACUUUGCAGCAAUACAGGCAAUUAUAAACGAGGUAUUUAAAAAGGACCAGAAUCAGCAGUAAGUGUUGGCACUAAUGGCAGCAGCAGGAGCAGCAGUACGACGGGCCAGGGGAAACUCAGCCGCAAGACCAAAACAUCAUAAAUCAUCUCGACGCAGGCCAGGCUGGAGCCAGAUAAUGCUAAAUAGCAAAGCUGAAAGGCUAUUUUCACGCAGACUGAUCGGCAGCUACUGUAUGCUGCAGGCAGGGCAGCAGGUCUCUCUCCGGUCCGGAAGAGGGCAGAAGUCCAUCUGCCUAACGAUCUCGGCGAAAAGCUCGUCCACCAUGGUCUUGCUCUUGGCCGACGUCUCCAUGAAGGGGCAGCCCCAGUCUUCAGCCAGCGCCUGCCCCUCACUGGGGGACACUUCCCUCUCCUCUUCCAGGUCCACCUUGUUACCAACCAGCACCACUGGCACCUGCUGGUACCUGGAAAUGAGAGAAAAAAAGUAAUAUCAGAGGAGUAUAUAUCUGAAAUGUACUGCCUUUUCUCCCGCUGGGUGUGUUUUGUUACAGACUCAGACUACAGGAAUUUCCUGAUACAUAAGGGAGAAAGCAGGAGGGAAAGCGAGACUUAACUCAUUAGCAGCAAGUGUGUGUGUGUGUGUGUGUGUGUGUGCAUUGCUGGCCUACAUACUGUAUUUGUUAGAUGCUGAAACAAUAACGGUUUUGAACAAUACACAAUGAUGCGAGAGGAGAGGGAUAAACACAGCUACAUUCAGUUCCAGCUUCGCAGGAGGCCUCCAUCACUCCCCGGGUGUCUAAUACCAGUAGGCGGUCCCAUUAGAAAACUGUCAUCACGAAAAAAUAACUGCCUCUUUUGCACGCUGUGAUGCUCUAUUUAUCCCUGGAUUUAUUAUAUAUGAGUUAGCAAGCUGUACAUUUAAUGGCUUCCUAUGCUUGUUUGAAAUCAUCAGCUUUGUUUCCAUCAUGCACUAAGCAUGUCUUAACGGAUCAAAAGCUUUCUUCCUCAGAGUGUGGCUGACGAUCCCAGUCAUCUUGCCAUCAAUACACAGAAACCAGGCGGGGACUGGUAAUGUAUGGGUUAUUGAAUAAUUGAAUAAAGCUAAUGUGCUGCUCUCA